GUGUAUGUGCUCACACAUACACCAAAACUGGAACAAUACAGAGAAUAUUAGCAUGGCUCUAGCACAAGGAUGACACACAAAUUUGGGAAGUAUUCCAUAUUAUU
rnacentral:snRNA from 1 species